rnacentral:rRNA from 1 species
GAUGAACGCUGGCGGUAUGCUUAACACAUGCAAGUCGAACGGACUCUUCGGAGUUAGUGGCGGACGGGUGAGUAACGCGUGAGAAUCUGGCUUUGGGUUCGGGACAACCACUGGAAACGGUGGCUAGUACCGGAUGUGCCGAGAGGUAAAAGAGAAAUUGCCUGCAGAUGAGCUCGCGUCUGAUUAGCUAGUUGGUGAGGUAAAGGCUCACCAAGGCAGCGAUCAGUAGCUGGUCUGAGAGGAUGACCAGCCACACUGGGACUGAGACACGGCCCAGACUCCUACGGGAGGCAGCAGGGGGGAAUUUUCCGCAAUGGGCGAAAGCCUGACGGAGCAAUACCGCGUGAGGGAAGAAGGCUCUUGGGUUGUAAACCUCUUUUCUUAGGGAAGAACAAAAUGACGGUACCUAAGGAAUCAGCAUCGGCUAACUCCGUG